rnacentral:lncRNA from 1 species
UACUGUCUUUUCGAGGUAGGAGUCGACUCCUGUGAGGUAUGGUGCUGGGUGCAGAUGCAGUGUGGCUCUGGAUAGCACCUUAUGGACAGUUGUGUCCCCAAGGAAGGAUGAGAAUAGCUACUGAAGUCCUAAAGAGCAAGCCUAACUCAAGCCAUUGGCACACAGGCAUUAGACAGAAAGCUGGAAGUUGAAAUGGUGGAGUCCAACUUGCCUGGACCAGCUUAAUGGUUCUGCUCCUGGUAACGUUUUUAUCCAUGGAUGACUUGCUUGGGUAUGGAGAGUCGGCUUGACUACACUGUGUGGAGCAAGUUUUAAAGAAGCAAAGGACUCAGAAUUCAUGAUUGAAGAAAUGCAGGCAGACCUGUUAUCCUAAACUAGGGUUUUUAAUGACCACAACAAGCAAGCAUGCAGCUUACUGCUUGAAAGGGUCUUGCCUCACCCAAGCUAGAGUGCAGUGGCCUUUGAAGCUUACUACAGCCUCAAACUUCUGGGCUCAAGUGAUCCUCAGCCUCCCAGUGGUCUUUGUAGACUGCCUGAUGGAGUCUCAUGGCACAAGAAGAUUAAAACAGUGUCUCCAAUUUUAAUAAAUUUUUGCAAUCCAUCUGGA